UCGGUUGAAGGAUGAUGAAAGAUGUUCUCGACUAGAAAAAAUUGACCGUCUUAAGAUUUUUCAGGAGUAAAUUCAAGAUCUAGAGAAGGGAGGAAGAGGAGCAAAAGAAGAUACAUAGGGUUCUUUCUAUCUCUUGUCACCAUAAUUUAUAUGUUUGUCUUUGAUAUAAAAAGUCUUACAAUAGUAAUUAUAGGAGCAAUUACGGCGCCAAGACACACUGGCGUGAUUAUUGUAUGAAGGUAUUUUGGUUUAUUUUUAGGAAGGUGACAUUGCUGCUGGCAUUCUUAUAGCUAAGACACACUGGCGUGAUUAUUGUAUGAAGGUCAAGGAUUCCUGAUCAUAUCUGGCAGUAGCAUCAAACAUGCAACUUUCCCUUGCUUGGUAGAGACGGUGCUUCUAGUUUUAAAACUAUGUAGUAUUAUUAUCAUGAAGGUAAUGCAUUUCAUACAGUUGUUGUUGAUAUGAAUGCUCCUGCUAUUUGUGCUGUUGAUUAUGUGGUAUAUCUAGUUUUUCCUUUGUAUUUCAAAAUUUGUAUUUGAAGCAUGAAAUAAAUAUUUUCUUACUCCCAUUUAAGGCAUCGAACAGAGUGAACUAACCUUAGAAGUUCUUCAUGCACUCAAUAUUCUGUUGAAGAAGUUGUAAAUACAUAUGAAAUUGUUAGAUUCA